rnacentral:rRNA from 1 species
UAAUUUUUUUUUAAGUUUAUAAUUGUUAUUUUUAAGUGAAAUUUUAAAUAAUAAUUUAAGUUUAAUUUUGUUAUUUGAUUCUAUUAAAGUUUUUCUUAAACUAGGAUUAGAUACCCUAUUAUUAUUACUCGUAAAUUAAUUUACCAAAAUAGUAUUAGUAAUUCUUGAAAAUUAAAAAAUUUGGCGGUGUUUUAACUAUUUAGAGGAAUCUGUUCUGUAAAUGAUAUUCCACGAUUAUUUUUACUUUUUUUUUAAUUUUGUAUAUCGUUGUUGUAAGAAGAUUUUAUUAGAAUAAAAUUUUCAAUUUUUUUAUAGGAUUAUAUUUCAAAUCAAGGUGCAGAUUAUAAAAAAGUAGUAAUGGAUUACAAUUAAGUUAUUAUUGGUUUAAAUAAGGAGAAUUUUUUAAUAAAUUGGAUUUAAUAGUAAUAUUAUAUAUAUAUAUAAUAUGAUUAAGGUUCUUAGACAUGUACAUAUUGCCCGUCGCUUUCAUUUUAUUUGAGAUAAGUCGUAACAGAGUAGGUGUACUGGAAAGUGUACCUAGAAAAA